GCGGCCACGCUGCGCUCCUCCUUGGCGGUGCGUUGCGGGCUCCGCGUGACGCACACAUACGCAUACACACAUACGCAUACACACAUACACACAUACAAACCUUGUGUCUGAGAUCAUGUCCAGACGCUCCAUGAACUCCAGCCCUCGGGGCCGUGCCCACAGCCCUGUGCAGCCCGUUCCAUGCCCACCGCCCUGUGCUGCAGCCCCUUUCCCUGACCCCCAGCUGCCCUCCCCUGACGCAGCUCCAUGCCGUUCCCUGUCUCUGUCACACAGAGCAGAGCUCAGCGCUGCCCCUCCGCUCCCUGUGAGGAGCUGCAGCCGCCAUCAGGCCUCCCCUCAGCUCCUCUGCUCUGCGCCGAGCCAAUGAAGGGACCUCAACUGUUCUUCAUACAUCUUGCCCUCCAGACCCUUUCCCGUUUUUGAAGCUCUCCUUAGGAUGGGACAAAAGCAGCCCAGGUCAUACCGGUGAGAUUCUACUCCCCUGUCGCCGAGUCCUUCUUUGCUUACAUUAUUCAGAAACAUAUUGGCAAGUCUCACACUGUGAUUUCCAUGUACGGUUUACAGCAGCUGCCCCAGAAACAAUCACUCAGGAAAGUUAGUGGCUACAGAAACUACCCACAACACCUGGACCACGGCAGAAUUUCCCUGCUGACAAGAGCAUCGGCUGCUGGAUCAAGCGAAGUUGGAAAGAAGCAAAUCCCUGUGUAAACAUCAAUAUCGUCAAUUAAUUAGGAAACACAGCAAGAUAAAUAAUGAAGCCCCAAGAAAGGUUAACACCACAAAAAGGAGAAAAAAAAAAGGAAAAA